rnacentral:rRNA from 1 species
UAGCGGAGGGUGCAAACGUUGCUCGGAAUCAUUGGGCGUAAAGCGCACGUAGGUGGCUUGUUAAGUCGGGUGUGAAUCCCUGGCUCAACCCAGGAAGUGCACUCGAACUGGCGAGCUUGAGUACUGAAGAGGUCGCGGAAUUCCCGGUGUAGAGGUGAAAUUCGUAGAUAUCGGAGGAACACCAGUGGCGAAGGCGCGACCUGGGCAGAUACUGACACUGAGUGCGAAAGCGUGGGAGCAACAGG